CCUACGGGAGGCAGCAGUGGGGAAUAUUGCACAAUGGGGGAUACCCUGAUGCAGCGACGCCGCGUGAAGGAAGAAGUCUUUAGGUAUGUAAACUUCUAUCAGCAGGGAAGAAAAUGACGGUACCUGACUUGCAAUCCCCGGCUAACUAGGUUCCAGCCGCCGCGGUACUACGUAGGGGGCAAGCGUUAUCCGGAUUUACUGGGUGUAAAGGGAGCGUAGGCGGUGCAUAAAGUCAGAAGUGAAAGCCCGGGGCUCAAAUCUGGAACUGCUUUUGAAACUGUUGAACUAGAUUUCAGUAGAGGUAAGUGGAAUUCCUGGUGUAGCGGUGAAAUGCGUAGAUAUUAGGAGGAACACCAGUGGCGAAGGCGGCUUACUGGACUGUAAAUGACGCUGAGGCUCGAAAGUGUGGGGAUCAAACAGGAUUAGAUACCCUAGUAGUC
rnacentral:rRNA from 1 species